rnacentral:rRNA from 1 species
UACAGAGGGGGCAAGCGUUAUUCGGAAUUAUUGGGCGUAAAGGGCGCGUAGGCGGCCUGGCAAGUGGAAGGUGAAAUCCCUCGGCUUAACCGAGGAACUGCCCUCCAAACUGCUUGGCUUGAGUCCGGGAGAGGUGAGUGGAAUUCCGAGUGAAGCGGUGAAAUGCGUAGAGACUCGGAAGAACACCAGUGGCGAAGGCGGCUACCUGGACGGGUACUGACGCUGAAGCGCGAAAGCUAGGGGAGCAAACAGG